CAACUAUCACAGCUUACUUUUCUUGCAUUCUUUAAUGUCUCCUAUAACAAUCUAACUGGACUUGUCCCAAAAGGUAAGCAAUUUUAUACAUUUCAAAAAAACUUCUAUGAAAGGAAUUCAGACCUCUGUGGGGAUCCGCUAUCAAGGAAGUGUGGAGACUUGGAUGCACCCACACCAACAUUGUCACUACCGCCUAUAGACUCCGAAGGAAGAAAAGAUUCAACAUUUCCCAGUGGACCUGACUGGAUUGUCAUAUACAUGGGAUUUGGAAGUGGGACGGUGGUUGGGAUUGUCAUGGGGCAAAUGCUGACUCCUAAGCAUCACGAAAGGUUCUUGGAGACCUUUGGACAGAAAAAAAAUAAUCAGAGAAGGGAGAGAAAGAGGAGAGCAAUAGGAAACUGAAGUUCAUCACAGAAUGCUUAUGAGACCAAUUUGAUGCUUCUUGCUAUGUGUAUUUCUUCUAGUUUCAUGGGAUUGUAUGGCCAAUGUUUCAAUCACCCGGUGAAAGCAUAUUGCUAGUGUAGGAAAUGGAGACAAAGCAUCCUUACUUUAUGGGAUCCCCAAAUUAGGGGAUCAUGUAACCAUAUUUUCUGGAUGCUUUCUCUCUUAGUUGGAUUGGGAUGUGAGUAAAUUUGUAUAUAUUGUGUGUUGAAGAUUAUUUAGUUGAGGUAGAAGAUAUCAUUUUCAUCUUGUAAGAUCAUAUGGUAUCAGAGCCAUCCACGAGACCUGUGCGUCCAGCCAUACCAGACGAGAGUUGCAGCUGUUGCCUCUGAUCUGCCGCUGGAGUUAGCAGAGUCCGCCAUUGUCUUCAAACGCCGGGAGCAGAGUAGGGAAAGGGUCUUCACCAACACCGCAAGAAAAACGGCCUCCCGCAUCCACCGGCAUUAGCACCACCGAGCGUCACCGCCUGCAGCAGCCGCGCCACAGUGUGUCGCCUUCAGCAGCACCACCCACAGCCACCAUUGAUCUGCCAGUCGCGCCACCACCACCAUCACAGUCGCCGGCAUCAGAUCGACCAAACCUCCGGAGCCCAGCCGUCGGUGAGCCUCCACGCACCGCCACGUUCCGCCCAUUGACUCUGUGCACAGAUCGUUUUUUUGCUCCGAUCUCUCUCUUCGGUGCCCCAAUCGCAACACCGUUACCACUGUUGGACUCGGCUAACUCGGCCCAUUCAGAUCCCAGUGGUUUCGACCACCGUCGACCGCCGGUCGCCGCCGCCAAGCACCAUUCGUCGCUGUCCAAUUUUGUCUGUUCCACCAGCUGGCGCUGUUCUCUCUUCGUUGAUGGUUUUACAGCAUUUUUUGGUUCAUCUGUCCUGUUAAUGAGUCCACCAGCACACUUCUGCCACUGCUCCCUUCUCCUCUCUUCCAAACUAAGUCCUCUUCUUCAUCCCUUCGUGAUAGAUAUCAGAUCUGAUUUUCAUAAUCUCAGAUCUGGUAGACAUUGAUCUCAGAUCUGAUUUUCACAAUCUCAAAUCUAGCGUGCAUUGUCCCUCUGAAUUCAUACCGGCAACCACCAUUAUCAAAAAAUGACCAACUCCAGUACAUCUAUAAUAGAAUCAACCGGUAUCUCGACUGUAUCCACCCCAAAUUAUCCUUUGUUCUCGGUCAUUCUGAAGAUCCCGCAAUACAAAUCACAUCUCAUAAAUUGAAUGGGAGCAAUUUUAGAGAGUGAUAUCAGUCAGUAUUGCUUGUGAUCAAGAGAAGAGGAAAAAUAGGCUAUUUGACAAGAGCAAUGGCAGUACCUCCAUCAAAUUCUGUCACCUAUAGUGUAUGAGAAGCAGAAAACUCAUUUGUGAUGGCAUAGUUGAUAAACUCGAUGGAGCAAAAGAUUGGACGCAUGUAUCUGUUCUACCAAACAGCAAAAAAAGUAUGGGAUGCAGUAUAAGAAAUGUACUGUGACCUUGAGGAUAUAUCACAAAGUUUCAAGGUUCGCUCUAAGAUUCGGAACACUCGACAAGGUACGCUAUCUGUUAUCGAGUAUUUUAAUAUGCUCUCAGAAUUGUGGCAACAAAUCGAUCUAUUUCACAAUAUUGAAUGGAACUGUAUUGAUGAUGGAAUCCUAUAUAAUAAGAUGAUAGAAAAAGAUCGAAUGUUUGAUUUCUUGCAAGGGCUAAAUCAAGAAUUUGAUAACGUUCGAGGUUGUAUUCUUGGCACGAAGCCUUUGCCCAACCUGAAAGAGGUGUUUGUUGAAGUUCGACGAGAAGAAACAAGAAGAAAAGUGAUGUCCUCUCCAAUGCAAAGUCCAUCCACCGAAACAGCAGUCUAAGGAUCUGCCUUAGCAACUAAACAAAAUGAAGGGUAUAAUCAAAAAGGAACUCUUGGGAAGGACAAGCGGAUGUGGUGUGAGCAUUGUAAAAAGUCCAAUCAUACCAAAAACAUGUGUUGUGAUAUUCAUGGCAAACCUCCAAAUUGGAAGUCACGAAGCCACAAAAAGAGAAUAUUUAUGUGGUAGAGAGUAGAACUAGUGCAGCCUCUCAACCAUUCACAGUAGAACAAAUGGAAAUUCUUCAAAAAUUGAUGGCUUCUUCAUCUAUGACAGAUGCCUCCAUGUCUGUCCCAUCAACUUCUACUAGCCCUGCAACACUUACAUCACAUAAAGGAUUUGCCAUCAGAGAGGACGAUUGGGAAUAUUGAGGAGCGAAAUGGCCUCUAUUACUUGUGUCCUCAUUGCAGAGAAAAGAAGAGCUUAGAGAAUCAAUUUUUGUGGCAGUCACACCAUUCCUCUAGCCUGGCUCAGCCUAGGCUAAGCCCAUGCGUGGUCCAUGAAGCAUAAUGUUUACAAAUAAAAAUAUCAUUAUACGUUGAAAAUAAAUACCACUGCAGAGAGAAGAAGAGCUUUGAGAAUCAUUUUAUCCCCAUUGAUUGCGGAAUAAAUACAAACACCUCAUCUAUGUACAAAGACUUGGAUAGUAUAAACUCUUUAUGUUUAUUGUUUAUUUAUUUUUGUUGUUUAAGGGACGUUUAUUAAUCAAUAUAU